UGUGGACGUCGCGAUGAAAUAAUGCGUAUUAUUAGCGUGCCUCAGCUCGUCCAUUACGCAACCGCAUGUAUGUUGGAUCAACAUCGUCGACGCAGCACUGGCAACUCGGAGAGCUCUUUUCGAUCUCAUCGUACUGUUCAAAAGUGGCGAGGCCUUGGCCCGCAACAGUGUCCACUAAAAGGAGGAGCCCCCAGAAAUGCAGACCCCAUACGAGUGCCUGCAGCAGCAUGGCUGGAUGCUCAUGUCAGGCUUCACCGUGGCAGAGUACCAGGCGGAACCAACGAGGUUAAAAGCUAGCCUUUCCUCGCUGCUUUCCAGGAAGUGAAGUAGUGGGCGAUCAUGUAAGAAUGAACUUGCAACAUGUGAGCAGUAGCCAAAGCUUCAUACAGGUCAUACUGGUGGUAAAAACUGGAAUGCUGAGACAAACCACAUUAUUUAUUUAUUUAAGUAUUAAAUAAUUUACAUUUAUUUGUUUAUACCUCACUAAAGCCUUACAUGCCUCCAGGAAGGAAUUAGGUAAAAUGGGAAAGCAAUAUUAAAUCAAAGUAAACACGUCAUUCAAAAAAGCAUCAUUUGCAUAGCACAAGCAUGAUGUAACAUUUUUUAUUCAAGUGACGUUUCAUACCAAUCCACGAAAAUUCCAAGAAACGAAGCUAUUAAGUUAACAACUCUUACUAAAAAAACAGUGAUAUCACAGUUCUGUUAGUUGCACCUAAUCCAUAACUAAAGUUGGCGAAAUUGACGUAUCAUAUACUGCUCUAAAAUACAAUCAUUAAUUUGUGAGUAGGACGUGCAAAAUGCUUAUAAACAUUGGAACAUUUCACGCAAGCUGUAAAUUCAUAUAUCAAAUUCCUUGACUUAAGACAUAGCUGAUCCAGUCUGCAGAACUGUGAUAUGUGUUUUUAUUGCAGAGUUGGGGAUUAUUAAACUUCAUGCUUUUACUUUUCUUUAAACCUGCCUGUUUUUAAUAAUUUUUACUUUAGGCUCUGA